GACGAACGCUGGCGGCGUGCCUAAUACAUGCAAGUUGAGCGCUGAAGGUUGGUACUUGUACCCACUGGAUGAGCAGCGAACGGGUGAGUAACGCGUGGGGAAUCUGCCUUUGAGCGGGGGACAACAUUUGGAAACGAAUGCUAAUACCGCAUAAAAACUUUAAACACAAGUUUUAAGUUUGAAAGAUGCAAUUGCAUCACUCAAAGAUGAUCCCGCGUUGUAUUAGCUAGUUGGUGAGGUAAAGGCUCACCAAGGCGAUGAUACAUAGCCGACCUGAGAGGGUGAUCGGCCACAUUGGGACUGAGACACGGCCCAAACUCCUACGGGAGGCAGCAGUAGGGAAUCUUCGGCAAUGGACGAAAGUCUGACCGAGCAACGCCGCGUGAGUGAAGAAGGUUUUCGGAUCGUAAAACCCUGUUGGUAGAGAAGAACGUUGGUGAGAGUGGAAAGCUCAUCAAGUGACGGUAACUACCCAGAAAGGGACGGCUAACUACGUG
rnacentral:rRNA from 1 species